UUUUGUGCCUCGGUGGGGGGAGUUCUGAGGCUCCACGUGAGUGUUGAGACCCGUGGUGGAAAGAAGGGCUGGGCUUUGCGACGCGGUGGCAGAGGAAGCAGGGGAUGAAGUCAAUGAUCUCAGCACUGAAGCAGCCAAAAAGUUCAGAGAUGGACGUUUCAAUAUAAUGGAAAUCUCAGUAUAACUAUGGGGAGAGUUAUAUGAAGAGAGAGAACCUGUCAGUCAAAUCUCAUACUGUCUUUGGUGGUUCUUUAGCCCUGGAAAACGUGAUGUGAAAUCGCUUGGUAAGAACUGAUUCCAUUUAGCCAUCAGGGACCAAUAAUAGCAUUUCAUCAGGAUCUGAGUUUCCCACCUGAGGUUUCCGCUGAGAUGAUUCUAGAGUGAUUUCAUGAGACUUGUUGAAAACAUUGCUUCUUGCCUACUCUGACUAGUAUGGCUGGGCCAGCUCUUCCAGUAUAGAAUGAGUUGGACAGAAAUAGAAACAAGAACAAGCAGAUUAUACAGGAAAGGAACAUUGGGAAAGCAGCAGGAAUUUAUAGCUUCCAAAAUCAGCACACCGAUUUUUUUUUGAGUCAUCAUCAGUGAUUGACAUGACACUUUUCCAUUUAUUGAAGGCUAACCUGAACUAUAUAUUGUGCUCCCAACCGAUUUUAUUUCUGUGAUUGGUUAUUCCUGGAAUUCCCAGCUGUGAAACCUUCAAAAUAAAGCAGAUAAAAAGAAGUAUUCAAAA